rnacentral:ncRNA from 1 species
ACGCUACAGCCAUGUUCUGCUGACGUUGUCAGCGACAUGCCCAGAUAGCCAUGAUCUUCAAGGCUAUGGCGCGGUUCCGUCCGCGUUGAUCGAUCCAGUUCGCACCCGGCAUCCCAGAUGCGAAUGCCCAUCGAGCCAUCGAUGGUGAUGC